rnacentral:rRNA from 1 species
AUCUAUGGCCCUGCUUCCCUGAACAAGUUCGAUGUCUGAUCUUGGAAGCUAAGCAGGGUCGGGCCUGGUUAGUACUUGGGUGGGAGACCACCUAGGAAGACUGGGUGCUGUAGGUA